UACAGAGGGGGCAAGCGUUGUUCGGAAUUACUGGGCGUAAAGGGCGCGUAGGCGGCCCGCUAAGUCGAACGUGAAAUCCCCAGGCUCAACCUGGGAACUGCGUCCGAUACUGGCAGGCUUGAAUCCGGGAGAGGGAUGUGGAAUUCCAGGUGUAGCGGUGAAAUGCGUAGAUAUCUGGAGGAACACCGGUGGCGAAGGCGGCAUCCUGGACCGGUAUUGACGCUGAGGCGCGAAAGCGUGGGGAUCGAACAGG
rnacentral:rRNA from 1 species